rnacentral:rRNA from 1 species
CCUUGAUGGCGACCGGCGCACGGGUGAGUAACACGUAUCCAACCUGCCGAUAACUCGGGGAUAGCCUUUCGAAAGAAAGAUUAAUACCCGAUGGUAUAAUCAGACCGCAUGGUUUGAUUAUUAAAGAAUUUCGGUUAUCGAUGGGGAUGCGUUCCAUUAAGCAGUUGGUGAGGUAACGGCUCACCAAACCUUCGAUGGAUAGGGGUUCUGAGAGGAAGGUCCCCCACAUUGGAACUGAGACACGGUCCAA